UUUACCGGGAGGACAUGACACAAGUGAUGUUGUUUUGGAUUUUAUGCUUCUACUACCAUUGUGUUUAUAACAAUUUAAUAGUGAAUGUGUAAUACAACACAUGUUUAGCUGGCUUGAACGACCUACAUAUUAUAUUCUCCACGUAGCAGAUUUUGUGAUGGUUCUGAAGAUUCAUAAUUCAUACAAUGUGAUACUUGAUUCCAUAUUGCAGCAGCACUGCUUCAAAGUAAGACUAUCAUAUUUCAUAGAACUAGCUAUAAAGGUAUAAAGGUAUUUUCAAAAUGGGAAGAAAGAAAAUGACAAAGUAUCGAUUUCGCAAACACAUAAGUUAUGACGAUAUACGUGAAGCUAUAAAGAAGCUGAAUAUUCAGACAUUCACAAAAUCGUGGCGGGAUGAACAGUCAGAAUAUGGGUUGAUAUGCAAUACAAUUGGCCGAAAAAACAGCACAACAAACAGGUUACGGAUACGAGCCCUGAUUAGAAACGAACCAAAAGCUGAACUUGAAAAGCCGGAGUGGCACAAUAUUAAAUUGAAGACUGAUGCAUUUGCAGAGAAUGAACACAUCGAAAAUGAUAACCGUAAAAACACUAAACAAGUUCUGGUAAUUGAUGAACUGUCAGGUAAAUCAAGUGCUGUAUAGAAUUAUUUGAACUUUUAUGACUGAUCAUGAUAUUUUGUACUGACUUCUUUUUUAUCAGAGAAAGAAAAGUUGGAUUUUCAAAAUUGUUGAUUUAUUAAUAGAAAUCUGUGAGACCUAUAAACAUGAAGGUAGCAUAAUACAAAGUAACAUAAAAAGAACAGUUAGUAAGUAAAAAUGAAAAUUUGAAUUGAUAGAUUUAUAAUAAUGUACAAAUUAAUACAGAAUGUUUUUCACAACUGCAUUGGCUUUUUUGGCAGUUUCAACAAGACAGUAGUUAUUAAAGUGAUUCAUACCUAGACAUUCUCCUAAAAAGAUUCGUACUGUAAAAUAUGGUCCUAUUGCACAUUUCUGAUAGCUGUUCAUUUAUAUUUUUUUAGCUCAACUAGCCCCAAGGGCCAAGUGAGCUUUUCUCACCACUUGGCGUCCGUCGUCCGUCGUCGUUAACAUUUUACAUUUUGAACAUCUUCUAGAGAACCACUGAACAUCAUGUAACCAAACAUGGCAUGAAUGUUCCUUAUGAGGUGCUGACCAAGUGUUGUUACUUUGUAGCCGAUCCAUCAUACAAGAUGGCCGCCAGCGGGGGACUUAGUUUAACAUAGAACCCUAUGGGAAAUGCAUAUAAAUGACUUCUUUUAGAGAACC